rnacentral:lncRNA from 1 species
GUUCAAAACAGUAAAACAAUGACUGUGUGAUUCAACGGUCUAGCUUUGCCUCUUUAUUUUCGUCGGUGCGGCUACAGGACAAAGAGCAGAAGGGACGUUUGGACCUACUGCCAGCAGGCUGUAACAGACAGAUGGGUUUUCACACAAACAACAGAAAACAUCAAGAGCAGUGAAGCUGGCACACACAGAAGAAGAAGCAGCAAAGGGGAGAAAGUUUGGAUAAUGAGGCACUGCUAGCAGGAGAUGAUAAUUCACUUUGUGCUGUGAGAAGACAAACUGUCCACUCUGUGUAGAGUUCAACUCCAUAGCUGCAAAGCCAUAUGAUGAAGCAGAUUAUUGAAAAAGAAAAAUACUUGUAGGGCAGAGACUUGGUUUUAUUCUUCAGUUACUGAUUGGAUGGCGGCAGAUCUGAAAGUGAGCUUGCAGUAAAUAUUUACAUGGGCAGAGUUUAAGGAAUGAAUUGUUCACAAAAGGAUCGAUAACUAGCAUUUGUAAAAUAGAUUUAUUUCAUGCCACCAAAUUGUUGGUCACUUGACAAUCUUGUUAUCGCAAAUAAAUCUCAUUGGCUCUAUUUUUAAUUUUUACAAGAACCUUCAGUAGAGACUAAUAUUGUUACUCUCGAUUGUAGGAUAUUCUGUACACAAAGUAUGAUCUGACUGAAGUGAAAUAUAAUAACCAGCAGAUGGCGGGCAAGCGUCAGAAUCCUGUUGAUAUCAGAACCACACAUCAAUGAAGUUUUGCAAGCAAAGGACAAUACCAAGAGAGACUGCAAAGAGGCAGCUGAUUUACACUUCACGUUCUGAUUGCACUUCUCAUCCUUUCAUCUCCAAAUAUCCUUCAGAUCUUUAUUGUAUAGGUGGCGGCACAUUGGCACCAUAUGCUCAGCUAUUUCCAUCAAUGCUGCCAUUAAGCCUCUAUUUUGUUUAAUCUCUGUUCUGAAUCCAG